AACGAACGCUGGCGGCAUGCCUAACACAUGCAAGUCGAACGAGACCUUCGGGUCUAGUGGCGCACGGGUGCGUAACGCGUGGGAACCUGCCUUUAGGUUCGGAAUAACUCAGAGAAAUUUGAGCUAAUACCGGAUAAUGUCUUCGGACCAAAGAUUUAUCGCCUUUAGAUGGGCCCGCGUAAGAUUAGCUAGUUGGUGGGGUAAAGGCCUACCAAGGCGACGAUCUUUAGCUGGUCUGAGAGGAUGAUCAGCCACACUGGGACUGAGACACGGCCCAGACUCCUACGGGAGGCAGCAGUGGGGAAUAUUGCACAAUGGAGGAAACUCUGAUGCAGCGACGCCGCGUGAGUGAUGAAGGCCUUCGGGUCGUAAAGCUCUGUCGCAUGGGAAUAAGACAGUGAAUGUACCAUGCAAGAAAGGAUCGGCUAACUUCGUGCCAGCAGCCGCGGUAAU
rnacentral:rRNA from 1 species